GGCUCCCUGCGAGCCGCCCGAGCAAAGCGGCCCGGCCGCAGCUUCUGGAACCCGGACAAAGGCGUUUAGCAGCGCUCCCCGCUGAGGCCAGCCCGACAGCCGGGACUGCGGUCCCUAUUCCUUCCCAUUCUUCGCGGCUACCGCAGCACAGAAUCAGAGUCAUUCGCGUUGGAAAAGACCUCUGACAUCAUCGAGUCCAACCUACAACCGAACACCACCUUGUCAACCAGACCAGAGCACGGAGUGCCACUUCCUUCGCUCCUUGAACGCCUCCACUGACGGCUGUCCACCUGCCCGGCCAGCCCCUGCCACAGCUCGGCCCCGUUCCCAGGAUUUAACGCGAUGCCGCAGCCCCCGCCGCGAAGGGCGCUGAGGCCGGACCGCUCCCGGUGCCGAGCCCGGCCCCGCUCCGUUCGCAGGUACUUUCCUUACUAUGGGAACAGUGAUAUCAGUGAUGUGGGUGAAGCUAAGCAAGAUCCCCACCAGUGAUUUGAAACUGUUUUUGAGUGAGGCAGAACAGACAGACUGCCAAUGUGACAGGAGCUGCUUUGCCUAAAAAUAACCACAUGUGAGCCACAUGGGUCCAGAAACAGUCACAAAACCAGCACACAUGAAACAUGCAAAUCCUGGCCUUGCAGAAGACCAAGAGAAGGAAGCGAUGAACACAGGGAAGGAAAGAUAGCAAGCUGCUUCUUUUCUGUCUCCUGCAGGCACAGGAAGAAAGAUCAAGCAAUCUGCAAUAGCCAUGCACUGUGACAGACCUGCUGUUUACUGAGUGAUGAAUGCUUCAGAGCUUGCUCACAGAUAGCUAGAGAGAGCAAAGCCAUCUGCUAUGAAACAGAGCACACAGCACUUGCUCACACUUGCCCCAGCUUGGCCCUGAAAAAAUUACAUCAUGUUCUCAGGAAGCUUGUGUUUCUGAGGUUCUCUGUACUCAAGUCAGCCCUACAUGAUUAAAUGCAUUGAUGCUACACAUUUUACCUCUUCCAUAAAUCACCUUGGCCAGAGAAAAGGAUAUUCCCCC